ACUUAAAACGAGCAGUGACAAGACGUCACUUAAAGACCUUGAGAAUUCUAGACCCUAUCAAGUGCAAUAGGAGCAGUUAAAUUCCGCGGGGGCGUUGUGGAGCCCCCUAACUUAUUGUGUGAAAUCUAGCGAUUAAAUGU